UCCGACAAAAUUAAUAGCUUCAAUAAAUCUACAAAUGGUUUCCACAAGAAUUGAAAUUAUGGCUGUUUUCUUAUUGAUGGCUCUUCUCAUUUCCUCACAAGCUGCAGACGCUCGACACCUCAAUCGAGUUCAACCUAAAGACGGCAAGAAAAUGAUCACAAGCUAUGCACGUUUCGAGUGCCCAAAUGGAUGUUGUGGUGCUCUCCGUGCACCCGUGCUACCCGACCAGCUCGGCCAAGCCAGACACUGCCGCUGCUGCCGUUAGCCCAACUACUCGAUUCCCAAUCAACCUAUCAUAUUUACAUUUUUUUCAUGUAAAAUCAUUCUCGAAGGAAAAAGGUAUUUGACAAGCUAUUAUACCUUACCAUUUUACACCAUAUUUGCCUUUUUUUUCAUGAAAAAGGGGAAAAUUAUUACUCCACAUUUUAUAUUUUAGAAUGCUUUUGUAUUAUUAGUUUAUUUUUAAAAAUAAUCUGCCUUUCUAUAUAUAUUUUUUAUUUGGAAUGUGUUAUUUUUUUCAAAUGGUGUAUUUCACUUUUUGAGAAGGUAAAUAAAUGAUAUACCGCUUUCAUUUUA